GACGAACGCUGGCGGCGUGCUUAACACAUGCAAGUCGAACGAAGUGGCGAACGGGUGAGUAACGCGUAAUCAACCUGCCCUUCAGAGGGGGACAACAGUGGGAAACGACUGCUAAUACCGCAUACAGAAGGAGGGGGUUGCGACGUAUUAGCUAGUUGGAGGGGUAACGGCCAACCAAGGCGAUGAUCAGUUGCCGGUCUGAGAGGAUGAAAGGCCCAAUUGGGACUGAGAAACGGCCCAGACUCCUACGGGAGGCAGCAGUGGGGAAUCUUCCGCAAUGGACGAAAGUCUGACGGAGCAACGCCGCGUGAGUGAUGACGGCCUUCGGGUUGUAAAGCUCUGUUAAUCGGGACGCGGUACCGGAAUAGAAAGCCACGGCUAACUACGUGCCAGCAGCCGCGGUAAUUC
rnacentral:rRNA from 1 species